rnacentral:rRNA from 1 species
CCCUUUGGGUGUGACUGCGUACCUUUUGUAUAAUGGGUCAGCGACUUAUAUUCUGUAGCAAGGUUAACCGAAUAGGGGAGCCGGAGGGAAACCGAGUCUUAAUUGGGCGUUAAGUUGCAGGGUAUAGACCCGAAACCCGGUGAUCUAGCCAUGGGCAGGUUGAAGGUUGGGUAACACUAACUGGAGGACCGAACCGACUAAUGUUGAAAAAUUAGCGGAUGACCUGUGGCUGGGGGUGAAAGGCCAAUCAAACCGGGAGAUAGCUGGUUCUCCCCGAAAGCUAUUUAGGUAGCGCCUCGUGAAUUCAUCUCCGGGGGUAGAGCACUGUUUCGGCUAGGGGGCCAUCCCGGCUUACCAACCCGAUGCAAACUGCGAAUACCGGAGAAUGUUAUCACGGGAGACACACGGCGGGUGCUAACGUCCGUCGUGAAGAGGGAAACAACCCAGACCGCCAGCUAAGGUCCCAAAGUCAUGGUUAAGUGGGAAACGAUGUGGGAAGGCCCAGACAGCCAGGAUGUUGGCUUAGAAGCAGCCAUCAUUUAAAGAAAGCGUAAUAGCUCACUGGUCGAGUCGGCCUGCGCGGAAGAUGUAACGGGGCUAAACCAUGCACCGAAGCUGCGGCAGCGACGCUUAUGCGUUGUUGGGUAGGGGAGCGUUCUGUAAGCCUGCGAAGGUGGCCUGUGAGGG